ACACAGCCCCGCCCCGGCCGGACUCAGCCUCAUCUCACUCCGCCUUCCUGCGCGUUGUACGGUUGCCAAGGGGACGCACCACUCUCCAGGACCUUCUGGGCGCAUCUGGGGACUAAGAAAAGCCAGAGACAGGUCGGUGGAGAUAGGAGACGAGAUGCUGACCCUGUUCCCCGUGUCCAGAGCAAGGAUUCUCGCCUGCUGUCGUUCGCGGAGGCCCUGGGGUAGAACAUCUCUGGAGGCUGGGGCAUCCAAGUGCAUGGCUGUGGCAUCUGGCCAGACAAGAAGAAGGUUUAACAUUAGACACCUGAGUGGCUGCUGUGAUAAGAUACCAUUAAACAUGAUGGCGUGGUGCUGAUAUGAGAAAGUUCUUGAAUCCCCAGAUGUGGAACCCAUGGAUAUGGAGGGCUAACUAUAUACAUCCCAUGCACUGAGAAAAUAGGAAAUGGCUUAAUUUUUAUUUGAGGUGGAAACCUUUGGCUUCAAGCCUGCCAUUCAACACUGAUGACAUCUCAGUCGUGAGCCGCACAGUGGGCUGAGUCCUGGUCACUGCACAUCUGCAGCCAGCUGUGCAAUCAAGUCUUUGGCAUCUUGCAUGGUGGAGGGUAUCUCUGAGCCAUUCUUAGUCAGACAGGAUCUUGCUUUGUCGCCCAGGCUGGAGUGCAGUGGCGCAAUCUUGACUCACCGCAACCUCCGCCUCCCACGUUCAAGCAAUUCUCCUGCCUCACCCUCCUGAGUAGCUGGGACUACAGGUGUGUGCCACCACGCCCCACUCAUUUUUAAAAAUCUUUUGUAAAGAGGAGCAUCUUGCUAUGUUGCUCAGGCUGGUGUCAAACUCCUGGCCUCAAGCAAUCCUUCCACCUAGGCCUCCCUAACUGCUGGGAUUACAGGCAUGAGCCACUGCACCCAGACUAAUUUUGUUUUUCCAUUUUCCUUUUAGUCUUCUAAGAUUAUUUCAACAGGAGCAAUUAUUUUUAUUUAUAUUUAAUAACAGAAAUUUGAUUCAUCUAUUGUUUUAGGUCUAUAUGAUACUUUACCAAUUAUAGUUCUUGCCACUGUGAGUUUUCUUUUGUGCUCAUUAUUUCUACUGAACAAAAAAAUCCUCAACCAAUUUUGGGGAGUAGAGGAAGACAGAGAAGAGAAUGGAGAGGGAACAGAUUCAGACAACGUGCAGUGGGAAAAGGAGGUUCAGAGGAGAGACAGGGAAAGAGAUGGGGGAGGCUUGGAAGAGGGAAACCCACAGGAAGAGGCAGAGGGGGAAGACAGGAAGCCUGUGCUUAGGCCGCAUGCCAGGGCCAAAACCUCCUUACGAUGGAAAUGGCAAGGUCAAAACAUACAUCUUUAACUCUCAUACACCAAGAAUUAUUUAAGCAAAUGACCUGUGACAUUCCCUUUCAUAAAUAACACAGAUUCAGCUAUAGUUUUCCAGUCCUUUGUAAAAGUUUUUUCACUUCUAAAAUUGCAUUUGUAAUUGGCUUUUUGUUAUUUCAUAGCAUUCCCCCUAAGUUUUAGAAGAUCAUCAUUUUUAAAUCUCUGGAAAUAACCUAAUAUUGUGUCUUUUUUUUUUCCUGUAUCAUAUGAACCUAUUUUUUUUUGAGACGGAAUCUCACCCUGUCACCCAGACUGGAGUGCAGUGGUGCAAUCUCGGCUCACUGCAACCUCCGCCUCCCAGGUUCAAGCGAUUCCCCUGCCUCAGCCUCCCAAGUAGCUGGGAUUACAGGUGUGCGCCACCACACCCAGCUAAUUUUUCUAUUUUUAGUAGAGACGGGUUUUCACCAUGUUGGCCAGGCUGGUCUCGAACUCCUGACCUCAGGUGUUCCGCCCGCCUUGGCCUUCCAAAGUGCUGGGAUUAUAGGCAUGGGCCACUGUGCAUGUCCCGAACCUAUCAAAUUCUAUCACUUGGAGCCUGUGGGGCUUUUCCUGAUGUGCUUAAGCCUGGGAGGUGGAGCUUGCAGUGAGCCGAGAUCACACCACUGUACUCCAGCUUGGGU
rnacentral:lncRNA from 10 species